UCCGGGUUGGACCCGGCGGUCCCGCCAGACCUGGUAACUGGCGGCGGGGGUUGCGCUCGUUGCGGGACUUAACCCAACACCUCACGGCACGAGCUGACGACAGCCGUGCAGCACCUGUGUCGGCUCCCCUUGCGGGGUCGGGCCCCUUUCGGUUUCCUACCACCGACAUGUCAAACCCAGGUAAGGUUCUUCGCGUUGCCUCGAAUUAAGCCACAUGCUCCGCCGCUUGUGCGGGCCCCCGUCAAUUCCUUUGAGUUUUAGCCUUGCGGCCGUACUCCCCAGGCGGGGCGCUUAAUGCGUUAGCUGCGGCACGGAUCCCGUGGAAGGGAACCCACACCUAGCACCCAUCGUUUACGGCGUGGACUAC
rnacentral:misc_RNA from 1 species